AUUGAACGCUGGCGGCAUGCCUUACACAUGCAAGUCGAACGGCAGCAUGGAGAGCUUGCUCUCUGAUGGCGAGUGGCGAACGGGUGAGUAAUGCAUCGGAACGUACCGUGUAAUGGGGGAUAACGUAGCGAAAGUUAAGCUAAUACCGCAUACGACCUGAGGGUGAAAGACGGGGAUCGCAAGACCUUGCGUUAUACGAGCGGCCGAUGUCAGAUUAGCUAGUUGGUGAGGUAAAGGCGCACCAAGGCGACGAUCUGUAGCGGGUCUGAGAGGAUGAUCCGCCACACUGGGACUGAGACACGGCCCAGACUCCUACGGGAGGCAGCAGUGGGGAAUUUUGGACAAUGGGGGCAACCCUGAUCCAGCCAUGCCGCGUGAGUGAAGAAGGCCUUCGGGUUGUAAAGCUCUUUCGGCCGGGAAGAAAUCGCACAGGCUAAUACUCUGUGUGGAUGACGGUACCGGCAUAAGAAGCACCGGCUAACUACGUGCCAGCCGCCGCGGUAAUAC
rnacentral:rRNA from 1 species